UUUUUCUUCUUCCACGUGUCUCAUUUGGGCGACUGGAGGUGUUGCUUGAAUAUGACCCCUUGAAACUGGAUCUGCCCACAUUGUUAUGCUUUUACUCAAUAAUGCAUUCAUGCUUGUGACUCAGUGAUGCGAUUGUCCUCAUGCUGUAAUACUUAAAUUAUUCCAUACCAUUCUCCUGGGACGGCAGAGAUUUUGUUUUCUGAGCUCAUGCACACUGUCUGUCCUUUUUUAAAAUUCUCCUCCAAUAGCUGCUGUCUCCUCUCACCCAGCGUAGCCGUCCUUUCAAACAGGAAGCUCCAGGUCAGUUUCCCGUGCCAAGUUUUACAGCAGCCAUGUUGUCUAUUCUGCUCAUCUAUUUAAAAAAAUUUGAAUAUCAACCAUAUGCUUUCACUGGUGCAUUGUAAACUUUUGUAUGAAGCAAUCUGGCUGAAUGAGACGGGUCCCCAGAGCAGGGAUGUGCUCAGCUGCAGUGUGCAGUGCACCACACAGGCAUCGGCCUGGCUCUGAGGCUCUCUGUUUCUCUGCUGACACUGGGAAAGGCUCGGUGGAGGGGGAGGAGCUCAUCCUUUGGGAUGGCUGUGAUUCUGAGCUGUGGAUGCCACCGCUUUACCCCGGGCCUGUCUGCAGUACUUCCUUGUGGAGCUUCUCCUGGGCCUGGUGGCAGUCGGCUGCAGAAGGUGCAUCUGUGAGAAGGAUUGGGAAGGAACAGCUUUUUAGGACCACACAGAGUUUGGUUUGAUUGACAGUCCCUUUAUCGGCUGACUGAAGGCCUUGCCUCCUCAUAAUGGUCCAAUUAAGAGAUGAUCUUCAGGUGGCUUCGAAAUGUGUAGCUGAUGGUGAAGCAGCUGCGGAUUAAGGAUGGAGAUAAGGAGGACGUUAAAGAGUCAUCGGGCAGUGUGGUGCCACUGUGUCUCAGAUGUCCUCCUACUCUGGAGUGGCCUGUUCUUCCUGUCUCCGAGGGCGUGUCCCUAGCAUGGCAGCUUCUCUUGAAGCCAGAAGUCAACAGUUGAACCUGGCAUAGCAAGUUUGGCAUAAUUUGUGGUUUCACCUGUUACACCAAGGUGCUUGACGGCUUCACACGGCAUUCUGUAAUAUUUGUGAGUCACAGUAUGUUCAGGCCAUCCCUUAGUGUGACUUAUUAUAACCGCACAAGGACGUUCUGUCCAAUGUCAUGCUGAUGAUAGCUUUGAUUGCAUUAUCUCACCGGGUUCUAUUAAUACCCUGGCAAUCCCUGAAGAAACUGUAAGGGUGCUAAAAGCUUUAUCUGCAGGGAGACAAGUGUGCAUUUCUUCUGGUAUUAAAUUAAAUCCUCUGUUGCCAGAUGAAAACUUCCAGACCCAAAAUAUCAGAUGCACAAAUAAAAUAAAAUUAAUAUGUUAGUGAUAGUUGGUAUUUGUUGAGUUUGGCACCUAUGGAAACACUUUUUUUUUUACUGUGCCCCAUAGCCAGUGGAGUCAAACAUCAUGAAAUUUGAGAUAUAUUUUCAAGAACACAUGCUUUUUUUUUUUUUUGAAGGAUCAGUCAAAUCAGCGUUGGUAAGAGUAGAAAUGUCCCUAUUUAUAUGGUAAAAACAAUAUAACCAAAUCACAGAAACAAGCAUCCUGAUCUAUGCGGAACUGAUUUGGAGCAUUAAGACAUAAAAGUAAAACUUCAAGCCA